rnacentral:piRNA from 1 species
UAGUACUGUAUCUACCCGGGAAGGGAGUCU